GGGUCCUGGGCAGCAAGCGCUCGAGAACCUCCAGCCUUAAAAAGUUGUGGGCACCAAAAAGGAUGAAAUAAGGAAACGAGGGAUAAGUGAUAGGGAUAAGAGAGGAUAGGUGCGGCGUCCCUAUACGAAAUGGGGGUUACCAAAGUUCACGAUCCUAAUCUCCUCGUGGGAAUACCAAAAAUCCCAGGACCAGGAGCAAGGGGAGGUGCGCACCCUGGGACCGCGCACCGCCUUCUCGGCAGGCAGACGGAUCGAGCCCGGGGCUGGAUGAGAAUGGAGCUGUCAAAAGCGUGGGAGCCCUCAGGCCUCCGAUGACCCUGCUCCAGGCCACCGCGGCUGGACCGGCCUCCAGCCGAUCCCAGAGGCGGGCGGGAAGGUCGCAAGCUAUCACUGCCUAUGGCCCGCUGGCCAGACGCGAGAAAGAUCCAAGCGGAGGCAAGGCAAGGGGGACGAGGGAACAGGGUUAUUCCUCGGGUAGCCUCUCAGCCCUGCGGACCCCACAUUCUCCCGAGUUGCUGCAGCUGAAGCCAAGAUCGGCCCAUAGUGUCCGCCUGCGGUUGCUCCCACAAUCUAAAUUCUAGAAGGACAGGAGAGUGAAAAUCCUCUUAUAAAAGGUAGGAUUUUGGCUGAAAUUGACUGAAAUAAUGGAAGUCAAGAUGGAUAGGUGAUAAGGAAGAGCAUUGCAGGUAUAGGGACAGACAGUAAGAAGGACACAGUCAGGACUUGGAGUUCCAUGUGCAAGGUACAGCAAGGAGACUAGUAUCACUGUGUCAUAGAGUAGGUAGAAGGGGGAAAGGAUGUAAGAAACUAUAAAGGUAGAAAAGAGCUAGGUUGUGUAAAAUUUAAACAGAUCUUGUAUUUAUUCCUAAAGACAAAAGAGAAUCAGCAGAAUUUACUAAAUGUAUGUAUAAAGAAGUUGGGCAGCUAGGUGGUGCAGCAGAUAAAUAGUAUAGAAGAGAAAAGAGACCAGUAUAAACCUGUGAGGGACACUCAUUUUAGUAGAUGUGGCCUCAGUGAAAAUAUAACAAGGGAGAUUGAAAAGGAAUAGUCAGAUGGGUAAGAGAACUAUGAAAGCACAAAGUUAUAAAAACCUAGAAAGGAGAAAAGAUAAUAGUAGCACUUUAUAGCACUUUGGGAUUAACAAUCCUACAGCUAGUAUUCAAGGCAGGAUUAUAGCUCAGGUCUUCCUGAUUCCAAAUCCAGAGCUCUAUCCACUGUACUACCUAACUGUGAUGACAACAAAAAGGGUGAUUGAUAGUCAAAGACUGCAAAGAGGUCAAGGAGUAUCAGGACUCAGAAAAAGUAAAUUGAUUUUGGAAGUAAGAGUUCAUUGGUAAUUUAGGAGAGGGCAGUUUCAGUUGAAUGAUGAGUUUAUGAGUCAGACUUCAAAGAGCUUAGAAGAGAGUGAAAGAAGAGAUACUUUAUUAGAGAAGACAGGAAGGACAUUGAAACCUUGAAGUUCUAGAACUGUGAGUAACCUUGGCCAUAUGUUUACUACCACUCUUCCC
rnacentral:lncRNA from 1 species